CACCAGGACCCCAUGAUCUUUUACAUAACCCAAACGAUGACAUAACAGGAUAUACUGGGCCCGGCAUUGCAGGUGUUCCUGAAUUCUCCGCCAACAGCUCAACACUUAUAAUUUGCGGCAAAUGCCACUGCACAUUUCCCUGGCAAGCUACAUUUUACGGCGAUAAAGUUGGCUGUACAUCUGACGUCAAAAAGUUCAGCUGCACGUGUACACACAAAAGCUGCAAUACCGGAAAGCUGGUGAAGUGCCUAAAUAACUUGGCAAAAGGGAAGUGUGUGUCAUAUCGGUACCACAUUGACUGCUUGGUUUCAAAUAAAAACACUGGUUGAUUUUGCA